rnacentral:rRNA from 1 species
AGUGAACGCUGGCGGCAGGCCUAACACAUGCAAGUCGAGCGGCAGCGGGUCCCCGCGAGGGGAUGCCGGCGAGCGGCGGACGGGUGAGGAACACAUCGGAAUCUGCCUGGUUGUGGGGGAUAACGUAGGGAAACUUACGCUAAUACCGCAUGCGACCCUGAGUCGACGGACUGGGGGUGGAAAGUGAGGGACCUUCGGGCCGUCACGCGACCAGAUGAGCCGAUGUCGGAUUAGCUAGUUGGCGGGGUAACGG